AGACAAAUUUGAAAACCCAGACUUGAUGUGGUCAAUGAUAUGGGGGAAAAAGGAGAAGGACAGGAUUAAAGUUCGUAUUUUGCCUUUGGUUUUGGCUUACUGAAUAAUUAAUAAAUAUAUGACUAGAUUAUAUGCCUGCAUAAUUUUAACAGCUCAUAGGAGAGAAUUAGACAUAGUGUAAUUUAGGAGGAAAUAAUGGCACAAAGAGACUCUGAUUGCUUCCAAAGGGAUGCUUAUUUCCACUUACUAUCUAUUCUAGUUUAGUUACAUUUUUCUGCUCAGGUUAAAUUAGAAUCAUUCUGGAUUUCUCUCAUCAUCACUCUAGAAUCUGUCGGUGGGAUUUUGGGGCCAGCCCUCGCUCGAGUGAACUGUGCUAUCAGCUGUCUCCUGCAGGCAGUGAAUCCGCAGAAGAGAAGUCAGCCUCUUCAGAGGUGGGCAAAGCCUGGGGACUCUGAAGCCAAGUUGAGAAAGCUAAAGGAAGACAUCAAUAAAACAUCUGCUGGGCCAGGCAUGGUAGCUCACACCUGUAAUCCUAGCACUUUGGGAGGCCGAGCAGGACAUAGAUUUCCGAAGAAGGUGUCCUGCCCCAUCUUCUACCAAGGAGAAUGAAGGUUAACCACUGCAGACAGCUUUAGAUGCGUCUCGCUUCUCUGCCUGGAGAUGGUACCAGAGGAAGCUACAUGAACAAGCUUUGCUAGGUGACCUCAGGGAAGGAGGCUGGUUGUGGGAGGAGGCUGUCCCAGUGUCUGUAUAAUCCUGGCAUGAGUGUUGACAUGGAAGACAUUUAAUUCUGGAAAGAAAAAAGGAAGCCAAAGUAGACUAUCUGACCCAACAUGAUGAUGAAGAACGUAGUUCCGGGAGAAAGGUGCUCAGGAUAAUGAAAAAAAACAUGGAGACCAGGAAACUGAAGCUCAAGAUAGGGGAAAGGAAUGGCAAAACAGCGACACCACCUAAUUGUUUUGAACAGCUUCCUAUCCUGGUUCAAGCAAACUGCAUGUAAAUGAGAUUGGCAUGCCUGUCAGUCAUCUGAGGAAUUAUGGAAAACAGGAAAGAACUAAAAGAUUGGAGAGAGGAAAACACUGCCCAGUUGUCAAACAAGGAAAGAAGCUGGAGUCUAGAAACUCUACAACUAAUUGUUAAAUGAAAGUUUUGUGAACUCUCA